rnacentral:rRNA from 1 species
AACGAACGCUGGCGGCGUGCCUAACACAUGCAAGUCGUGCGAGAAAGUUCCUUCGGGAGCGAGUAAAGCGGCGCACGGGUGAGUAACACGUAGGUAACCUGCCCCCCAGUCUGGAACAACUAGAGGAAACUCUAGCUAAUGCCGGAUGAGACCACGAUCCCCUUCGGGGGUUGCGGCCAAAGAUGGCCUCUACUUGUAAGCUAUCGCUGAGGGAUGGGGCCUGCGGGCCAUUAGCUUGUUGGUGAGGUAACGGCUCACCAAGGCUGUGAUGGCUAGCUGGUCUGAGAGAUGACCAGCCACACUGGGACUGAG